GACCUUCAAAGGUUGCCUAGUCCAACCUCCCUGCAACAAGCAAGAACAUCUUAAAUUAGAUCAGCAGAGGGCGAGAAGGUGCAGUCACAGGCCAAACUGUGCCAGUCUCAGACCGCCUGCUGUCGGGAUGAGAGGAUGACUAGGAGUGGAACAUCCCGCCCCCACUGUUCUGGCCAGUGCACUCAUCACUGCAUUAUCUCAGGCCUUCUGAGCUCAGCAGUUGUGCUUCCUCAAAGCUCUGACCAAGAUGACCUCAAUAAAGGAGUUUCUUUUCUUGGGACAGAAGAGUUCUCUCUCACAACUUUUCCCUCUGAAUGCCACUUUAUCUCUUCUAAAUGAGGUACCCUUGGUCCUUCAGCAGCUAAUAAAUUCAGUCCUCACAGGCCAGCACAGCAAGCUAUGCACCUUCAAAGAGGAAGUCUGAAGCAACUCCAUCAUCACCUGGCAGGACAGUUAUUCUGUAUUUG